rnacentral:tRNA from 1 species
GCGCCGGUGAACAUCGCUGCCCGGAAAGCAGAAGAUGCGGGUUCGAGUCCCGCCUGGAGCA